rnacentral:rRNA from 1 species
CCUACGGGAGGCUGCAGUCGAGAAUCAUUCACAAUGGGGGAAACCCUGAUGGUGCGACGCCGCGUGGGGGAAUGAAGGUCUUAGGAUUGUAAACCUCUGUCAUGAGGGAGCAAAUACAAAAGCUCGUACCAGAAGAGGAAGAGCCGGCUAACACUGAGCCACUAUCUGCGGUAAUACAGCGGGCUUAAGCGUUGGUCGGAAUCACUGGGCGUAAAGCGUGCGUUGGCUGUUUCGUAAGUCCUGUGUGAAAGGCGCGGGCUCAAACCCCGGACCGCAGAUGAUACUGCGAGUUUAGAGUAGUGGAGGGGGAAGCGGAAUGCGCGGUGUAGCAGUGAAAUGCAUAGAUAUCGAGAAGAACACUCGUGGCGAAGGCAGGUUCCUGGACAUAAACUGACGCUGAGGCACGAAGGCGAGGGGAGCGAAAGGGAUUAGAUACCCUAGUAGUC